rnacentral:rRNA from 1 species
AUUGAACGCUGGCGGCAUGCUUUACACAUGCAAGUCGAACGGCAGCACGAGUGCUUGCACUUGGUGGCGAGUGGCGGACGGGUGAGUAAUACAUCGGAACGUAUCCUUAAGUGGGGGAUAACGCAUCGAAAGAUGUGCUAAUACCGCAUAUUCUCUGUGGAGGAAAGUAGGGGAUCGAAAGACCUUAUGCUUAUGGAGCGGCCGAUGCCUGAUUAGCUUGUUGGUGGGGUAAUGGCCUACCAAGGCGACGAUCAGUAGUUGGUCUGAGAGGACGACCAGCCACACUGGGACUGAGACACGGCCCAGACUCCUACGGGAGGCAGCAGUGGGGAAUUUUGGACAAUGGGCGAAAGCCUGAUCCAGCAAUGCCGCGUGAGUGAAGAAGGGCCUCGGUUGUAAGUACGU